AGUCAGCUGAAAUCCAGAGCUCAGCUCAGAAGCUCAGAGAGGGGAAGCAGACAAAACGCAGCUUCGGCCGGGAAACAUCGUCAGACUCAGCAAAGGCAUGGAAUUCGACCACGAAACACAAACUCCAAAGGGCAAACAGAGGGAUCUAAAUCCACAGGCUGCAGGAAUGCUUUAAAACUUUCUUGUAACCUUGCUUUGUUGAAAGGGUCUUUAUUUUCCAUUUCAAGUGACGUGACACAGGGACAAUCCAUCUCUCAGGGCAGCCCAUCUGAAGUGGAUCAUGCCCCCUAGAUAGCAGCCUCGUCCUCCUCUCCACUCCCCCUCCCUGCCCCUUGGCCCCUUCCUCUACCUUCCUGGUCCAGCACCAUCACUGCCACCUGUGUCACCACAGCCGCCAUGCCCCCCAGGAAGAGGACGCGGCCGGGCCUGGGCUUCCUGUGCUGCUUCGGCAGCAGCGAGCCACCGGAGAUCAACCUCAAGGACAGCGUGCCCCUGCAGCUGCUGGAGUUCAGUGCCCCCAUGCCGCCCGCUGAGGAGCUGCACGCACGUUUCUCCGAACUGGUGGAUGAACUGGACCUGACGGAUAAGAACAGGGAGGCCAUGUUCGCUCUGCCCGACGAGAAGAAAUGGCAGAUCUACUGCAGCAAGAAGAAGGAGCAAGAGGACCCCAACAAGCUGGCCACCAGCUGGCCCGACUACUACAUUGACCGCAUCAACUCCAUGGCUGCUAUGCAGACCCUGUUUGCCUUUGAUGAGGAGGAAAUGGAAAUGAGGAACAAGGUGGUGGAAGAUCUGAAGACGGCACUUCGGACUCAGCCGAUGAGGUUCGUCACACGCUUCAUCGAGCUUGACGGCCUCACCUGCCUCCUCAACUUUCUGCGCAGCAUGGACUACGAGACGUCGGAGAGCCGCGUCCACACCUCUGUCAUCGGCUGUAUCAAGGCCCUGAUGAACAACUCCCAGGGCCGCGCACACGUCCUGGCCCACCCACAAAGCAUUAACACCAUCUCGCAGAGCCUGCGGACGGAGAACAUCAAGACCAAAGUGGCGGUGCUGGAGAUCCUUGGGGCGGUAUGCCUGGUGCCGGAUGGACACAAGAAGGUGCUGCAGGCCAUGGCGCAUUACCAGAAAUACGCUGCGGAGAGGACUCGCUUUCAGACGCUGCUGAAUGAGCUGGACAAGAGUACAGGCCGCUACAGAGACGAGGUCAACUUAAAGACUGCCAUCAUGUCCUUCAUCAACGCCGUGCUCAAUGCUGGAGCUGGGGAGGACAACCUUGAGUUCCGCCUCCACCUAAGGUACGAGUUCCUAAUGUUGGGCAUCCAGCCGGUUAUUGACAAGCUCCGAGAGCAUGAGAACGCCACUCUGGAUAGGCAUUUGGACUUCUUUGAGAUGGUGCGGAAUGAGGAUGACUCUGAGUUGGCCAAAAGAUUUGAUAUGACCCACGUAGAUACUAAGAGUGCCGGUGCCAUGUUUGAGCUGAUCAAGAAGAAGCUGAGCCACACAGACGCCUACCCCAACCUCCUCUCCAUCCUCCAGCACUGCCUGCAGAUGCCCUAUAAACGUGGUGGUGGCAGCCUGCAGCACUGGCAGCUCCUAGACAGGAUCCUCCAGCAGAUAGUCCUCCAGGACGACAAGGGAGAUGACCCCGACAUCGCCCCUCUGGACAACUUCAGUGUUAAGAACAUCAUUCGAAUGUUGGUCAAUGAGAAUGAGGUGAAACAGUGGCGAGACCAGGCAGAGAAGUUCAGGAAAGACCAUGUAGAGCUGCUAGCCAAACUAGAGAGGAAGGAACGGGAGUGUGAAACCAAGACCCAGGAAAAGGAGGACAUGAUGAAGACUUUGAACAAGAUGAAGGACAAACUCCAGCGCGAGGGAGUGGAGCUGCGCUCAGCCAGGGAACAAGUCCUGGACCUGUCCUCGCGCAUUAAUGACAUAUCUGGCGUUGGUGUGUCUUUCCCACCUCCACCUCCUCCUCCUGGCGGCCCCGUGGCUCCACCUCCACCCCCAAUGAUGGGUGGCUUUCCUCCACCUCCUCCUCCGCUGCCAUUCAGCUGCCCGCCUCCUCCACCACCUCCUCCCCCACCUGGAGCACCCCCCCCUCCGCCAGGAGCCCCUCCCAUUUUCGGAGUCCCGCCUCCUCCUGUUCCCUCUUCAUUCAACUCAGCGACCACCAUGCGCUCCAAGUCCAUCCCUCAGCCUUCUCAUCCCCUGAAGUCCUUCAACUGGGCCAAACUAGGAGAGAAUGUGAUCAAUGGCACCAUCUGGAACGACAUUGACGACCUGAGAGCUUUCAAGAUUCUUGACCUCAAGGACAUAGAGAAGAUGUUUUCAGCCUAUCAGAGACAACAGGACCUGCUCACUAACCAAUCCUUCAAACAGAAAGAGACGGGCUCUAUGGACGACAUAUACGUCAGCACGCGGAAGGUCAAAGAGCUGUCAGUCAUCGAUGGUAGACGUGCACAGAAUUGUGUCAUCCUGCUUUCAAAGUUAAAAAUGAGCAAUGAGGAGAUCAGGAGGGCGAUCCUGGAGAUGGACGAGAGGGAAGAGCUAGCCAAAGAUAUGCUGGAGCAGCUGCUGAAGUUUGUCCCAGAGAAAAGUGACAUUGAUCUCCUGGAGGAGCACAAACAUGAGCUGGAGCGGAUGGCCCGGGCUGAUCGCUUCCUCUUUGAAAUGAGCAGAAUUGACCACUACCAGCAGAGACUGCAGGCUCUGUUCUUCAAGAAGAAGUUUGCAGAGCGUCUAGCUGAAACCAAGCCUAAGGUUGAAGCCAUCCUCAAUGCGUCCAGGGAGGUGGUCCGCAGCAAGAGGCUGACUCAGAUUCUGGAGGUGGUGCUGGCCUUCGGCAACUUCAUGAACAAGGGCCAGAGAGGCAACGCCUACGGCUUCAAGGUCUCCAGCCUCAACAAGAUUGCUGACACCAAGUCCAGCAUAGACAGGAACAUCACCAUGUUGCACUACCUGAUCAUGAUCAUUGAGAAGAACUACAAUGACACAAUGCACAUCCAGGACGACCUCAGCAGUGUACCAGAGGCAGCCAAAGUCAAUUUGGCAGAGUUGGAAAAAGAGGUGCACAGUAUCAAAAGUGGACUAAAGGCACUAGAGGCGGAGCUGCACUACCAGCAGGGCAGGACGAGGGAACGUGGGGACAAAUUUGUGGCUGUGAUCGGUGACUUCAUCACCGUGGCUGGCUUCAGCUUCUCUGAACUGGAGGACCAGCUGAGUGAAGCCAAGGACAAGUUUGCCAAAUCUCUGAAGCACUUUGGGGAGGAGGAAGGAAGGAUGCAACCCGAUGAGUUCUUCGGGAUCUUUGACACCUUCCUGCAGUCGUUCAGCGAAGCACGGCAAGACCUGGAGAACAUGCAGCGACGUAAAGAUGAGGAGGAGAGGAGGGCACGAAUGGAGGCCAUGCUCAAGGAGCAGAGAGAACGUGAACGGCGGGCGAAGAAGAGCGGGGCCUCAGAGGAGGUCGGUGGGGAGUUCGACGACCUGGUGUCAGCACUGCGUUCCGGCGAGGUCUUCGACAAGGACCUGAAUAAAUUCAAGCGCAACCGCAAGCGCUCCGUCAACCAGCUGGUCGAAGGUGGGGGCCGCGAACGAGCUGUCACCAAGGUCAACUACUAAGAUAGGAAAAGGAAGGAAAAAAAAAUACUAGACACUUAAAUUCUGCCGUGGUGUAGAUCUCUUUAACACCUUUAGUCCAGGUCCUUGGACAGUGACCAUUGACAUUGGAGAGGAUGUAAAUAACGGCUGGACUGGACAUGUAGCGACAUGUAUGGACAGCCACGCCGUUUUGAAGGAUGCAACACCCUCCUCUGAUUGUUCUUAUAAAGCUAUUCCCAACCUGUCUGUCCUGGGCGUCGUAUGAUCACCUGAGCUGGACAAAAGGACAAUUGGGAUCUAUGAAUGGAUGGACAGACCACUGUGACACAUUAUCCCAUAUCUUUUGACCAUAUCCUUUUAACACUGUGCUCAAGCUUCCAGUUCUUUUUCACCCCGUUUUUCACAGCUCUUUUUAUCCUCACAAACCCUUCGCUCUUUUUCUGUAAGUUCCUUGGUGCUGAAGCAGUCCUAUCUUUUUGCUAUCUGGCUCUUAAACACACAGGACUUUGGGAUCAGCCAGUCACACUGUACAUAGACUCGAGGCCAAGAGAAAGGAUUGGAAAAAGGACUUUGAAAAAACUGAAAAAGAAGGUGGGAUGGGGGAACUAAGCCAUAACCUCCACAGUCAUGGUUGCUUCAAGGGUCCCCCAGAAAAGAGACUUUUCAGCCACAGAAUAGAUGGGUAUUCAUGAACUUCCUUUACUGGAAAGAGGGGCGUGCAGACGGCGAAUCCCAGAAUGCUUUGUAGGCUUCAGGGAGAGUGAGGAAGGAUACACAACAGGGGGGUUAUCGCUACAUCCCAACGGCCUCCUCCAGCACAAAGCAUUCCCAGGGAGGACUCAUGCACACCCCGAGCUGCAGUUUCAGAGGAUACAACUCUUCUCAAGGAAAAAACAACUUCUCAGUUUGAUCCACCUGACAAAAUGAUGACUGUGCCACAAGGGUCAAGCCUCACCUCCAUUCUUCAAUGGUUACAACAUUGUUCUGGCAUCAACCAGUGCCAAAGCAAAGAGAAAACAAAUGUAAAUGUAUUAAUACAAAACAUACUGCAAUUAGGCGUUGAUAUAUAUUUAUAUUUAGAUGCAGACAAGCUAAUUGCAAAGAUGUAGAGGUUUUUUUAUGUUUUCAUGGCAUUUUGGGGUUUUGUACACGCGAUGCAUUAUUUGUUGGUGUUGCAAGUUCACAUUGCUGUUAAAGUGAAUUUCUAUACAUUUUGCGCUUUAUGUAAAAAAAAAAAAAAAAAAAAAAAGGUAAUUGCUUGUCCUUUUCACACCUGUACGUCUUGUUUGCACUGUAGCUUUUCUGACCAACUUUACACUCCACAAGCCGAUCUACAGUGUCCUCUGGAAAAACUCCUCUCUGCACUUAAAUGACCCCUUAUCUAUAACAAUGAUAAUAGAGGAACGCCAUAUAUGAAUUCAAAUCUGCAGUUAGUUCACGGUGUUCUCCCUGCUCUCCCAGCUGCAGCUAAAAUGCAGACCAUGUGGACUCACAGUAGCGGCCAAAAGGAUGCUGUGUAGCAGUUCUCAUUGGGCCCUUUAGUGACUCUCAUCCAUAGUAUCCGUAGGAUCGGUUCCACUGGUGCUAAUACAUGUGGUCUCAAGACAGAGCCAGCAGCCCAGAUGAAGAUUUCUUGAGGUAAAAACUAGUGCUUGAUUCCUCUGUGACCAAGAUUCAGUCUCAUCAUACAGUAUUUCUCUGUUUUUAGUUCAGUUGCCGUUGUAAUAUCAGACCACACUGUCUACUGAGUGUUAUUGCAAAGUCAGGGUACAACAAAGCACUUAGAGCGUGUAGAAAAUGAAAUAUAGUGGAGCAACAGAGAAAACAGUCCUUCCCUUCAUCUUUCCUUCCAGCUUCUCUCAACAUUUGAGAUAUUACUAGACCCUGUUACUAUGCGCAACCUGUUGCCAAACAAGAGUCAGACCCACAUACUGAAGCCAACCUUGGUCAUUUUUCUUUUAAGUUUUUGAAAUAUUCAAUUCAGUAUAUAUUUUUUAUUUAUGUAUAUGCAUUUCUAAAACCUUAGCAGUAGGCAUGACAAAGGCUGCAGUGUAAAGUAUGGGCUCGCCUCAGUACGACAUUUAUAUCAAGAUGGACAUAAAGUGCAGGGUGGCUUGCCACAGGAAGAAGUGUGCCCACAGAGAGGGCUUUAAUCUUGGGAGGGGGGGCUCCACUGUGAAAGGAGCCGCUCCUGGUCAAUUUUAAGGAGGAUGAGGAAGAAUUUUGGGAUGUCAAAUGAAAGCGUGGAUCGAUUUAAAAACGAGAAUCAUAUGCUACAUAUGAAUAUAUAUCUUCACAUAAGCAGGUAGAGGGUAACAUGCACAUGAAGAACAUAUGAAAUAUCCUGGUAAUCAUCCCUCUUUUUGUUAGAUAACCCAUUUAAAUCAUUCCAUCUGCACCGCAUGGCUACUGAAGUACAGUAUAGAGCUACAUGUGAGCAGUACAGUAGGGAAAUUGGUCUUUUUCGAAGCAAAUGGACACAUGUUGUGUUUGAUCUUCCUGUUGGCCUAUUUGUGCAUGUUUAGCUAAGGCUUCAUGUUUUAGCAUGCAUCCGUUUUAUGUAGACAGGCCAGAAGAUUUGCACACCAGCCCCUCGUUCAGUUUGUAAGGUGUAAGAGUUAAGUGAUUAACAGUCACAGUUUUUCCUUUUCUCGCAUUAAACUUGAGACGUUUUCCCUCUGCACUUGACUCAGUGAGCACUUGGUGUGUGAACUGUGGUGUUACAAAACACAAGAAAAAGACAUUUCCAAUGUUGGAUUAUUGGACAUCAGUUCAUAUUUAAUUUACGAUCCCACUAUUGUAUGUAAUUACUACAGUGGUAAUGGCUACCCCUGAUUGUUCCCUCACCUUGCCAGCUUUUCUGUUCUGCUUCAUUUUCACCUUGAAGUGCCUCUGACCCUGUUUUCACAUGUUUACCAUUCCUUUUAAUGUAUUUUAGUGCUUGUGACUUUCCCAAAUAUGUACAGUGUUUUGCUCAUGAAAUGCAGCCCACAGUUGGAAUUGGACUAAUUGGCGCCAUCUUGUGGCUUCAGAUAGUGCUUUUUUGAGUGCCUCGUUCACAAGCAGUUAAAAGCAGCUUUCCAAAGUGUUAAAGGGACAGUUCACCACCAAAUCAAAAAUACAUAUGUUGCGCAAUUUAUCGAUCCAAAUUAUUUUUCUUGGUGCAAGUUGCCGAGUGUUUGAGAUAUCGGCCAUAGAGAUGUCUGCCUUACUCAUAUAAUAGAACUAGAUGGCAGACAUCUCUCGAUUUCUCCAACACUCAGCUGUUCACAUAAACAGCACAACAGGUAAGAGGAAGAAAUAUGAAUUUCUGAUUUUAGGUUGAGUUGUCCCUUUACCAUGAUGUGGCUCUCGACCCCAGCUCUGCACAAUAACUCAAAGUCUCCAAAUGUGAAGUCAAACAGGUGUGCUUCAGUGUGGCUGGCAUGUCAUCAGAGAGGUUUGACCUGUACAGAGAAAAUUCCUUUUCACCUAAACUUUUAAGUGAUCCAUAAUCUGUCACCUUACAGAGACAAGUCAUCCUACCAGGGGUUUAGUCCAUACAUUGUUCCUCAAACUGAAGCAGAGACAAGCUGAUGUGAGGUUGAUAAGACAAUGUGAGUGCAGAGAGGAUCUUUGAGUUCUCAUGUCCCACACUUUAGAGAUUAACCGGUAAACCAAACAGAUUAAAAUGUUCAGACACUUUGAUUAAUCAGAGAAGUUCUAAAUCUUAAGGGGGUAAAUGACGUAUGAUUGCCUAAUUCUUUAACCAGCAUCUCAUGUAUAUUUGAGCUAUUUGAUUUCCUAACCUCUGCUCCUUUGUCUUUCAAGUUAAUCAGAGUUAGUAUAUCAGACUUUGGCAGACCCUUUAAACUCUUAAUCCAGAGCUUUAACCCAUAUUGUAGUGCAGACUAUUUACUGAGGGGGUAUUGCAACAUUGUCAGUAUUAUUACACGUUUAUAUUGUUACAUGUUUGGAUGUUUAUUUGGCCAUUGACUGGCUGAUUUUUGGAGUGUACAGAUGGAAAUCAGAGGAAUGAAAUUAGUAGCUUGUUCAAUGCACUUUUAUUAUGGGACAUUUCCAUUUGCAGCGCCGUUUUGGGGGCUUAGAUCCCUCUAGAAAUGAGAAGGGUGCAACGAAAGAGUGGUGCAAAAAACACGGUGUGAAGGAGAAAGAGAGAAAUAGGGCAAGUGAGGUUGAGACUCCGGCUGGGCCGCUGGAAACACAUUAACAGUCUGUUUGAUGGCAGAGAUGGGAUUUACAGGGACGCAGACAGAAAGAGGGGACACUCAUGCGCAUCAGGAGUGUACUGAGUUUGAAAUUCUCACCUGUCUGUGUCACCUGCCUUGGUGUAAAAGACAAAAAUGGGGGGAAUGUUUCUCACACCACCACAUUUCUGUCAAAUCAUACACUUGACGUCGACCUGCAUGCCUAAAGAAGGGUGCACAAAGCGUGAUGUGUUGACUUUAAUAGAAAAUUGUUUGCAAUAUGGAACGCACCUGUUACACAACAAUUUGUACUGCCUGAGAAAAAGUUGCACCCAGUUUUAGAGGUUGUAUAAUUGUGAGGAGUCAGUAUUUUUUAUGGUUGGAAAAAAAAAAAUCCUCCACCGAAAGAUGUACAGUUGGAAAAAAAAGGAUUUUGUACACCAUUCUUGAUGUUUGAGAUAAGAUUGAAAAAAGAUUAAAACAUUGAGGAAUGUUCCAUUUUCCUGUAAAUUGUACCUCUAUUUAUUUGCCUUAUUUAGUUUGCUAUAUUUUGUAUGUACACACAGCAUUACAACAAAAUGUUAUAUUAAAAAUAUGAAUAUGAAUAAUUAAACUGUGGUCCGUGUAUGAUGGAUAGUUUUGAGACUUGUAUAAGAAUGAGAAUCUUUUUUUUUUCAUUUCUAUAAUUUUAUUUUUGUUUUGUAUUUUUUUCUCACCCUGUGUCUUUUGUAGGGUUACAAUAAA